UACGUAGGGGGCAAGCGUUGUCCGGAAUCACUGGGCGUAAAGCGCGCGCAGGCGGCUAUCUACGUCCGGGGUGAAAGCCCAGAGCUCAACUCUGGGACUGCCUUGGAUACGGGAUGGCUUGAGGAUCGGAGAGGCAAGGGGAAUUCCACGUGUAGCGGUGAAAUGCGUAGAGAUGUGGAGGAACACCAGUGGCGAAGGCGGCUCACUGGCCCGGUACUGACGCUGAGGUGCGAAAGCGUGGGGAGCAAACAGG
rnacentral:rRNA from 1 species